UGCCACCACCCGAUGGCCGUCAUCCCGUUCCAGCUGUUCCUAGUGGGACUCUGCGUGACAUUUGCCACGCCACUAUGCUGCGCUAUAUUCCCGCAGCGAGCCGCCAUCGAUGUAGAGAGCUUGGAGCCGGAGUUGAAGGCCAAGACAAAAUAUAAUUUCCCCAAAGCAAAAGAGCUGUACUACAACAAAGGGCUCUAAAGAGAUCGAAGCUGGAACUUCGUGCCAUAGACUAUUCUAAGAUGACUACUGCCCUUCUGUGACCGCAGGCCGCUCGCACACUUACGACUUUGUCGCACGCAACGAUAGAAAAGUCGGGCGGGAUCAAACAAUAUUGAGGCUUAUUUUAGAAACGCCUAAAGAGUAUUUCGCUCGUCUUUAUUUCUGAUAAAUGAGCUUACGUCCAAUAAUUCCAAAACAAGGUUUUUUUUGCUACGAUGAUGGCAGUAUAUUUAGCGAAAUUAUAUUUAUUGAAACUGCCGUCGUCCUAUUUAUUAUCAUUUGUCGUGAGUGUGUAGCGCGCCUUAUUUGAACACUUGUUAUAUUGGCUAUGCUAUACACUAAGGUAAGCUAUUUUAAGUGUUAGCCUAAAACAAUUAUAAUAGUUCUCAAUUAUAAUGAUAUGUUAUAUUAAAUUAUUCGUUAAACGGUUAUUGAUGUUGUUAAUUUUAACAUAAAUGUUAGAUUGUUAAGAUUUCAUGCAGGGCAAAGAUUAUCAUAGACUUAAUGUUAUUAUUCAUUCCAAUUUGUAAACUUCCAUUCCAUUUAUUUCUUUAAAAUAAUGUAUAUUAUUAUUACUUUUCUGUAUAUUAGCUAUUUUAACUAUUUAUAAGUUUUUGUAUGUUGCGUUGAUGUGUGAUAUUUUUUAUGCUCAAUAUUUUUGGUUGUGAUACACAUUUUAUGAUCUGAGCAAAUCCCGACUGCCCAUAUCUUUUGAUAACUCCCCUUUACAAAAAUGUGAAUGUAAUCAAAUCGUGGCCAUAAAAUUAUACGAGGGAGAUGUCACGUUUGACAUUGACAUUUGCACCGUUUGACGCUGUCAUAGACUAAAGAGCUCUAAUGAUUGUUUUAGAGAUAACGUGCAAUAAUUCCAAAGAUAUUGUUUAGGUUAUUGGAGAGUUUAUAAUUAGUUGUAGUUGAACGGUUUAAUCGAAUAUGCAAGUCCACUGUCAAAAAGUUAAAACAAAGAUAUUUUGAGAUUUGAAAUGAUAGGUCUAACGCUUAAGGCCCAGUUUUUUGAUUCUUAGUUAAAAUAACCAAUAGUUAAAUUUGACAGAUGUCAAAUGACAAGUGGUGAAAUAUCUGAAAAAAACGUUUUUCGAACAAUGGUUAGCUUGACUUUUAGUACAUUUUUAACUAUUAGUUUACAUUUGUUCAUAUUUAACCAUUAGUAGCAAAAUUUAACAAUUAGUUAUUUUAACUAUGAAUCAAAAAACUGGGCCUAACUGGGUCAUUGCUUGAGGUAUAGGAGCGGCACAGAAGGGUGUUUUUGAGAUGUCAUCAAGAUUUCAAAUGUGCGUCAGAUUUGUACGCUCUGUCACGUCACAAUAUGUCAAUUUCACACCUCCCAUGCCGCUCCCAUAACUCAGGCACUGGCUGAGUUAUACAGUAGAUUUAUUAUUCACAGUUUGACUAUGACAAUUUAUUAUUUACCUUAAAAUGUAAUUUCUGAAAUGGUCAAACUAGUCAAUUAAUGUUUUUAAUUGAAAAAAGCGGGUAAAAGACAGUGGACUGGUCGCUAAUUAGGUAAAUGUCAAUUGAUGUACCUUCUGCCGUGACAAUAACACUGGAAGUGACUUUAUCUGAGGCAAUGAAAGUGAUUGCUGUUAUUUACUAUGAACAAUGUACAAAAUAAAACGUACGAGUAUUUCAAA